AUGGCUGUCGUCAGCUCGUGUCGUGAGAUGUUGGGUUAAGUCCCGCAACGAGCGCAACCCUCGUCUUAUGUUGCCAGCACGUAAUGGUGGGGACUCAUAAGAGACUGCCGGGGUCAACUCGGAGGAAGGUGGGGAUGACGUCAAGUCAUCAUGCCCCUUAUGUCUAGGGCUACACACGUGCUACAUUGGCCGGUACAAAGGGCUGCAAACCCGCGAGGGGGAGCGAAUCCCAAAAAGCCGGUCCCGGUUCGGAUUGGAGGCUGAAACUCGCCUCCAUGAAGUCGGAGUUGCUAGUAAUCGCGAAUCAGCAACGUCGCGGUGAAUACGUUCCCGGGCCUUGUACACACCGCCCGUCACACCACGAAAGUCGGCAAUACCCGAAGCCGGUGGCCUAACCCGCAAGGGAGGGAGCCGUCGAAGGUAGGGUUGAUGAUUGGGGUGAAGUCGUAACAAGGUAGCCGUAGCGGAAGCUGCGGCUGGAUCACCUCCUUUCUAGGGAUACCGGAGCACUAAAUCCGGUAGGCGCUCGGCCAGUCUCGAUGGUCUCACGGUGUUAAAGCCGUGCAGCCGUCCUGUUACCGAGUUCGCCUAGAAGUAUGUCGACCUCGUACGAACGAACGCUGUUGAGUUUUGAGAGACCGGUGGCAUUUCUGCGCCGGUAGCUCGUGUUGGGCGGACCCGUCCGCGCGCACCUUGAAAACUCCAUAGCAGUAACUAGCGAGUUCUUCACGAUCAAGAGACUAAGAGCACACGGUGGAUGCCUUGGCGCCAAGAGCCGAAGAAGGACGUGGGCGGCUGCGAUAAGCUCGGGUGAGGUGCUGACCAACCUUUGACCCCGAGAUUUCCGAAUGGGGAAACCCGG
rnacentral:sRNA from 1 species